rnacentral:rRNA from 1 species
CGGCGAGUGAAGCGGCAAAAGCUCAAAUUUGAAAUCUGGCACCUUCGGUGUCCGAGUUGUAAUUUGAAGAAGGUAACUUUGGAGUUGGCUCUUGUCUAUGUUCCUUGGAACAGGACGUCACAGAGGGUGAGAAUCCCGUGCGAUGAGAUGCCCAAUUCUAUGUAAAGUGCUUUCGAAGAGUCGAGUUGUUUGGGAAUGCAGCUCUAAGUGGGUGGUAAAUUCCAUCUAAAGCUAAAUAUUGGCGAGAGACCGAUAGCGAACAAGUACAGUGAUGGAAAGAUGAAAAGAACUUUGAAAAGAGAGUGAAAAAGUACGUGAAAUUGUUGAAAGGGAAGGGCUUGAGAUCAGACUUGGUAUUUUGCGAUCCUUUCCUUCUUGGUUGGGUUCCUCGCAGCUUACUGGGCCAGCAUCGGUUUGGAUGGUAGGAUAAUGACUAAGGAAUGUGGCUCUACUUCGGUGGAGUGUUAUAGCCUUGGUUGAUACUGCCUGUCUAGACCGAGGACUGCGUCUUUUGACUAGGAUGUUGGCAUAAUGAUCUUAAGCCACCCGUCUUGAAACACGGACCAAAA